UCCAGGAAGGCUGGCACCCGGAUCUGGGGAGGACACAUGACAAGUUGGAAAGGGACACAGAAACAUGGCAGGUCACCUUCUGGGUCCACUACAAAACCUUCUCUAAAUUAUCACCACCCUCCUCCCAAAACAAAUAACCCUUCUCACGUCCGUACCUCUUGAGAGUGUUGAAGAUGGAGGGCUCCAUGAUGUAGUCCCGGGUGGAAAACUUGUGGAGGCACUCCUGCUGGACCUCAGCGUCAUCCUCCCCCUCGGCAUACUCCUCCUCCUGCUGGGGGUCAUUUCUCCAUUAACAAAAGCUCCGGGAACCUCACAAGUCUCUCUCACACUGUCCCCUUCAAAUUAUGCCACACAUGGCACAUUAUUACAUGUGACUUCCGUGCGACUCUCAGGGAGUGGGCUGGACAGUAAUGAGUGGCCAAGAAAAUGGGAUCCAGAGUCACACCAAGGGGGUCUGUCUUGGCCUCUACCCUGGAGAACCUGUGCACGCGGUCACACAAGCCACCUCGUCUCUGGGCACCUUCCCUGUUCAACAAACAAAGGGCAUCAAAGCACCUACUCCCACUUGGCUGUUGGGAGGACUGCACAGCUAAUUUUUGGAAGAGCCAAAUCCAGUGCCUGCCAUUUAGUAAGAGUUCAGCAGACAUUAGCUAUUACUGUUUUUACUAUUAUUCUGUAUGUGCCAUUUCACGCUUUCUGGCCAAGUUAAGGCAAUAGUGAUUCCUGCAGGCACACACCGCCCACCUGCUGUUAGAAAGUAAAGACCACAGACCUGCAUCGUAUAAGCAGCCCUGGCUGGGUUCUAGUCCCCCUUCUACCUGGAAACCAUUUAAGCACGUUCCCGAGUCUAAGGACAAAGCAGCAGGAUGAUGUGAUAACCGUGGACCAGUGACCCCGAGGUCUGCCCAGCUCUCACUGUUGUCCUAAUGAACAAGCAGGUGCUUCUGAACACUUGCUGUGCGCUGGGGGCACUGGCUGACCCCCAGGGGACCUAGGAACAUGGAAGACAAGGCGUGCCUCUCCACCCGAGGAGUUCACAAACUAGUCGGAGACCAACCUCCACGUCACUGACUCUCCGUAGGGCAAGAGCUGGGCCAGACUCAGCAAACGUGGCCCCGGGCCCAAUCCAGUCCUCCUCUUGUUUUUGUGAAUAAAAUUGUAUUGGAACAACA